GUUAUUUUUCCCAACAGUAGACAGGAUGUGUUAGAGGCAGAUGUGAUAUAGAAGAUGGCCGCCGUGCAGUCACACAGCAAAUUGAUAAAAACAGCGAACAAGUCCUCCUCUACCCAGCAAAGAAGAGUCAACACCUGCUCUACACAAAACUACUGGACAAUGGACGUGCAAGGCUACCCUCAGCCAGCCGGGCUUCAACCACAGCCAACCGGGCUUCAACCACGGCCGGCCAGGCUUCAACCACAGCCAGCCGGGCUUCAACCACAGCCAGCCGGGCUUCAACCACAGCCAGCCGGGCUUCAACCACAGCCAGCCGGGCUUCAACCACAGCCAGCCGGGCUACAACCACAGCCAGCCGGGCUUCAACCAAGGCCAACCAGACUUCAACCAUGGCCAGCCGGGCCACAACCACGGCCAGCCGGGCUACAACCACGGCCAGCCGGGCUACAACCACAGAGAGCCGGGCUUCAACCACAGCCAGCCGGGCAACAACCACAGCCAGCCGGGCUUCAACCACAGGCAGCCGGGCUACAACCACGGCCAACCGGACUUCAACCACAGCCAGCCGGGCUACCACCACGGCCAGCCGGGCAACAACCACAGUAAAAGGUCUACACAGUGGUGACUCAGUCUGCCGUGCAGUCUGAUACGCAUGUUGACCGACAGCUUCCUGGUAUCGAAGGGAGCCUAUUGUUACAUCUGGCCAAGGACUGCAGAUGGAAACUAACCUUCUGGCUAAAUCUGGCAUAUUUACAGAAAUGUCUAUUAAUAUGCACUGUCCCGGUCAAAUAAACAAACAAAUAAAAAAUAAAUCUGUUUUAAAC
ensembl:lncRNA